GAUGAACGCUGGCUACAGGCUUAACACAUGCAAGUCGAGGGGAAACGACGGGGAAGCUUGCUUCCCCGGGCGUCGACCGGCGCACGGGUGAGUAACGCGUAUCCAACCUGCCUCUGACUGAGGGAUAACCCGUCGAAAGUCGGCCUAAUACCUCAUGGCAUCGUCUGCGGGCAUCCAACGACGAUUAAAGAUUUCAUCGGUCAGGGAUGGGGAUGCGUCUGAUUAGCUUGUUGGCGGGGUAACGGCCCACCAAGGCUACGAUCAGUAGGGGUUCUGAGAGGAAGGUCCCCCACAUUGGAACUGAGACCCGGUCCAAACUCCUACGGGAGGCAGCAGUGGGGAAUAUUGGUCAAUGGGCGGGAGCCUGAACCAGCCAAGUGGCGUGCAGGAUGACGGCCCUAUGGGUUGUAAACUGCUUUUAUGCGGGGAUAAAGUGAGGGACGUGUCCUUCAUUGCAGGUACCGCAUGAAUAAGGACCGGCUAAUUCCGUG
rnacentral:rRNA from 1 species